AAAGGUCAUCUUAAUGAUGUUUUCGUAAAUGGCCCUGUUGGUUUCUUUUGCUAAAGUAUCUGCAUUGUCCUUGGUGCAGGCAUAAAGAUGGCAUACAGAAGAUCAAUAAAAUUUCCAUUGGACCAUCUUCAACAGCAAAGGAAAGAUAUAACCUAUUGCACAUGUGUCCAUGCAAAUGUCAGCGAUGGAAUGUAAGCUACUGAGACAAACAGCAACAGGGAACAGAACUGAGGAUCAACCAUUCCUUGUAAAGGAACAAGCAGUCUAGAAAUAUGUAGCGGAUCAGCAUUUUGGACAGCAGCCAUGAAAGCCACAGAAAACAUUUUCAGAUGCUGUGAUAUGACUGUACCUACAAAAAGAUUAGAGUUGAGUGAUCCUAACAUUCCACACUAUGGAAUUGAAAGUUGGACUCUGAAGAAGCAGGACAGGAAAAAUAUUGAUACUUUUGAACUUUGAUUUUGGAGAAGACCCAUGAGAAUACCAUGGAGAGUAAUAAAAUAAAUGGCUCAUCAAGCAAAACUCAAGAGUUCCUGUUCAAAGUACAAAUUAUCUUACUUCAAAUACAUUAUGCAAAGGCCUAGCUUUCUGGAGAAGGCUCAAAAGGUAGAAAGAAAGAGAAGAGAAGCAACAAGGUAGAAUUGGUUACAAUGGCAGUGAUGCACUGUUGGAAAAUCUGAAGAACCAAGUUAGGGACAGAUCAUCAUGGAGAAAAUCUAUGUGGUUGUUAAAAGUUGACACGGACUUGACGGCAUAUAAUCAAUUGACAGGUCAAUUGUGGCAGCUGAAUCCAUUUUGAUUGAGCUGGUACAAUUCAUCUGUCAAUUGAUAUGAUUGCAUAUUCUUGCACAUACAUUCCAAUCUAUGUUUCCAUCAUUUCUGAUAUAUUUCCAAUAUAAGAAAAAUCCCUUUCUUAUAUAAAUCUCUUAAACGAUUAUAACAUCACCUACUUCUCAUAAUCCACCAAAGAAUGCACUGUGUUCUCAAACUAUAAUCAGUUAAUUACUACAAAAAUGUAAGUUGGACAAUUUUUAACUAUUAAUUGCUUUUCAAAAUUCACAGAAACAUAGACAUCAGGGUGCACGGAGAAGAAUCUGGAGCAAAUGAUCUGUAAUAAACUGAACUAUGUCUUUCCUGAAAUCUGUGUCAAAUUUAGCUGGAAGCAUAAGGUGAAAUGGGAAUAAAAUUUUGUUACUAUUUA